UACGUAGGGGGCGAGCGUUGUCCGGAGUUACUGGGCGUAGAGCGCACGCAGGCGGUCUGCUAAGUUUGGAGUGACAGUUGGUGGCUUAACUGCCAAAGUGCUUCGAAAACUGACAGACUUGAGGGCUUCAGAGGGACACGGAAUUCCGGGUGGAGUGGUGAAAUGCGUAGAGAUCCGGAGGAACACCAAAGGCGAAGGCAGUGUCCUGGGGAGUACCUGACGCUCAGGUGCGAAAGCCAGGGGAGCGAACGGG
rnacentral:rRNA from 1 species